GGCGGCACAUUCGCGACGUGCACGCCCGCAUUAUAUAUGCUUAAAUGCAACUUGAAUGAGGCUCAGCGGGGCUCCGUCGACUGACGCCACGAGCCGGGUGUUUGAACAGAAACUGUCAUGUGAGACAGAGGUAGUUAUAAACGCAAUGUGCAAACAUCUAUUUGGGGUGGCCAAUUUUAAUUUUGUGGCAGACUGAGAAAUAAAUGAAUGUAUGGGAAUGUACAACGAUGUAUGAUGUCACAGCUGUAGGCAGCGCAAACAUAACGACACGCCUAUAAUCCCUCCCACUGCGAAGUGAUACUAAACUCAAUGGAAAAGCUAACCACGCCAAAGUGAGGUGAGCUGACCCGACCCAAACUAAACUAAACCGUGGAGUACUAUGCAAUGGAAAAGCGCCAUAAUUAUCAGAAGUAUGUGGUACAACAUGUGUUUAGUUUUUUUAUUGAUAUUUCAGAGUUUUCAUAUGUGAGGUAAUCUUACUGGGAGUGAAGCCAGUGCGUAUGACCGCUUGAUAUGAAAGACACAUCCUGUUUUUAAAGGUGGAUCAUGAGUGAAGCUCUGCAGGUCUGCCAUUAGCUUGAUAACAGUGGUUUAUGUUAAUUGAGUGAAUUCAAUUUAUAAAUAAAUCUUUCACCAAGCAUUCACCUAUUUACUGACAAAACAGAUCCAAAUCUUGUUCAGCCUGAUGCUCAACCUUGUAUGAUGAUGACCACAGCCAGGUGAUGGAGAUCUGUGUUAUUCACAGCCUGCGUCUCAAGAUCAACAUGACAAUAGCAGACCAUUUCUUAACUUACUCUUAUCUGACUAAAUGUUCAGCAUCAUUGCAACAAAACAAAGAACAUUGGAUGGAGUAUUGGAGUAUUAGAUGAUCCCGUAAAGAAAAUAAUAUGGACUUUUUUGGUGAGAUUCUACAAAGAUUGACACAAUCCUAUUGACUUUUAUUUUUACAGUUAAUAAUGCAUUAUAAACAUCCCAUUCAUUUGUAUUCUGUGUCAUCGAUCUGUUUGUGCUAAAAUGUAUACAUCUGAAUGUAAUGUCAAUAAUAUGUUAAUAUUCAGGAUUUAUUAUCAUUUGCAUGUUUUGAUGUUGCAUAUCAUGAUUUUAUUGAUUUCAUGUAAUUGUUGUCUAUUUAAAAUUAUUUUAAUUG